rnacentral:rRNA from 1 species
UAGGGAAUCUUCCACAAUGGACGCAAGUCUGAUGGAGCAACGGCCGCGUGAGUGAAGAAGGUUUUCGGACCGUAAAGCUCUGUUGUUGGUGAAGAAGGAUAGAGGUAGUAACUGGCCUUUAUUUGACGGUAAUCAACCAGAAAGUCACGGCUAACUACGUGCCAGCAGCCGCGGUAAUACGUAGGUGGCAAGCGUUGUCCGGAUUUAUUGGGCGUAAAGCGAGCGCAGGCGGAAGAAUAAGUCUGAUGUGAAAGCCCUCGGCUUAACCGAGGAAUUGCAUCGGAAACUGUUUUUCUUGAGUGCAGAAGAGGAGAGUAGAACUCCAUGUGUAGCGGUGGAAUGCGUAGAUAUAUGGAAGAAUACCAGUGGCGAAGGCGGCUCUCUGGUCUGCAACUGACGCUGAGGCUCGAAAGCAUGGGUAGCGAACAGGAUUAGAUACCCUUGGUAGUCCAUGCCGUAAACGAUGAGUGCUAAGUGUUGGGAGGCUUCCGCCUCUCAGUGCUGCAGCUAACGCAUUAAGCACUCCGCCUGGGGGAGUACGACCGCAAGGUUGAAAC